rnacentral:lncRNA from 1 species
AAAAAACAAAAAAACAAAACCCCGGUUCAGCUUCUUCUUCCUCAUAUCUGCAACCUCCACCUUCAGGCAUUCAUGAGGUCACACACUCAUUCAAAGGGACCUUCUACCUUGCUUUCAUGGAGUCCAUAGGGUCUUUUUUUCCCAUUGACUCCAUUGUGUGUCCGUCCCUGCGUGCCAGUAGGUGCUAGUGCCAUAUUUAACAUAGAGAGAUGCAAUUACAUAUGUUGUUCAUUUUUCUCCUUCCCAAAUUAGACAAAUGUGAGUGUGUUAUUAUUUAAACAAUCUGAAAUUUUUCUAAAGAUUUG